UAGGCUAGGGUUUUCUCAAGGUGGAAAAGAAAAAUGGGGGCCUUGGGAUUUCUUUUUUUUUCAGUGUAGGAAAGGGUAAUGUUUCCUCCUAAUACUUCCCUUGCCUUCCUGUCUCAAAUUUUCUAAGUCUUGUAGGGUUUCUGUGUAAGUGAUGGAAGUGGUUUUGUCUUUGAGAGGAAUGUUGGCUGGCUCGAUGCGGGGGGCUUUGAGAGUGAUCAAAGUGAAAGGUAUCGGACCAGGCUUCAUUCCCCUCAAACAUUUUCAUUUUUUGCGGCUCUACUUCUUAGGCUUUUUGAUCAGAGAGACUGAACAAUUAUUAUUGGUUACAAAGGAGAAACGGUUGAUGGGAAUGUUGUUUGGCUCGAGGUCAUCUAGGUUGAUCUUUAUUUCCAUGAAAUUUUCUUGGAUUAAUUUCAUUUUUUUUUUCCGGGAAAGUUUCUGCAAUACAUAUAGCCCUAUAUGAUCUCGGACCAGGCUUCAUUCCCGUCAACCAAAACAACUUCCUCUCUCUGGUUCUGUCCAGGUUCAUCAGAUGUUGUAUCCAGGCCAUGUUUCUGGUCAAAUGGUAAUAUCAAUUUCUCUCUCUCUCUCUUGAUUGAGUCUAUGAGUUUCUCUUCUUCUUGUCUCUCUUUCUCUCUAAGCUUCAGGUUUCUUGCAUGGAAUCCUUUUGACCCACUUGUCAAAAAUGCUAACAAACGAAAGAUCAGAAAGAUGCCAUUGACUUCUUUUUUUGCUGCAGCAGCCCUCCCUUUUUUGUGUGUUGACCAACAUCUGUUUUCAUUUUUUCCAUGGUAGAUUCUCUCUCUCUUUCCAGGCACAACAACACACACUCAAACCCACGGUCUUACACUAAUGAUUUCUCUUUCCCAAUUAAGACUAGUUUUCUUUCUUUUAAGAGUGUUUUGUUCUUUCUUUUUCAUGUUCUUCCAAGGGAUCAGAGCAAUAGUUUGUACUAGGAGACAAAGGUAGCUAAAAGGUGGAACUGUACUCACUUCAAGGAAAAUACAACCUUUCAGAGGCGGUUUUGAGGCAUCUAGGAAUUAGUUUUAGAACAACAUCCAUGUGUCCAAAAACUUCACCCUCUCACAUGUUUAUGUAUGCAUGCAUGUAUUUGUAUGUAUGCUAUACUACAUGUUUAUAUCCAUGUACUAUGUGCAUAUGCAUGCCAUAUGUGUAUAUCUGGUGACUUUGCAUUGAACUCAUGAAAGUGAUGAGGUCUUCCCCAUGUGAAGUGUGAUAUUGGGUGUGGAAUUUUAUAGGUUUUAUAUACAUUGGAUGAUAAGAAAUUAAAAAUGUUUUUUUUAAAAGUAUAAUAAUAUUUUUGUUGAGGAAAGAUUUACAAAAGACUUACCCUUCAGUAGUGGUGCAGAACAGUACAAGAAGAGACAUAAAAUCCCAUUCUUCACUUGACCUGUGUAUGUAGAACUGAGACAAAUCCAAUCCGGUUGCAGUGGGAUCAAUCUUUUGUAAAUGUUAAUUAAUGAGGAAUGAUUGAAGGCAUUCAAGAAACUAAAAGUUGGUGGAGAUCUUAAUCAUAUGCAUACUUUGGAUACUUACCUGUACUUUAGGCAUGCACUCAGAAAAAGCUAACUCUUUGACAGACGGACUUGUUAAAGCUAGAAUCGACCGCAAUAAACACUAUUUUCGUGUCAUUUUAUGGAGGAUUUAGCCCUUUUUUUCUUCUCGCCAUUGUUAUUAACUCAUGAAUGUGUUACUGUAAACACAGAUUCUGUCUCAACCUAACUUUGGUUAGGUCUUUACUUUCGAUGAUCAAUAAUAUGAAGAUAAAAGGAAUCUCUUUUAGCAA